AGAGUUUGAUCCUGGCUCAGGACGAACGCUGGCGGCGUGCUUAACACAUGCAAGUCGAACGGAAAGGCCCGCCACUGUGGUGGUGGGUACUCGAGUGGCGAACGGGUGAGUAACACGUGGGUGAUCUGCCCCGCACUGUGGGAUAAGCCUGGGAAACUGGGUCUAAUACCACAUACGACCAUGGCGUAGGGGUCAUGGUGGAAAGCUUUUGCGGUGUGGGAUGAGCCCGCGGCCUAUCAGCUUGUUGGUGGGGUAAUGGCCUACCAAGGCGGCGACGGGUAGCCGGCCUGAGAGGGUGGACGGCCACAUUGGGACUGAGACACGGCCCAGACUCCUACGGGAGGCAGCAGUGGGGAAUAUUGCACAAUGGGCGCAAGCCUGAUGCAGCGACGCCGCGUGGGGGAUGAAGGCCUUCGGGUUGUAAACUCCUUUCGCCCGGGACGAAGCCCACCUUGGUGGGUGACGGUACCGUGGAGAAGAAGCACCGGCUAACUACGUGCCAGCAGCCGCGGUAAUACGUAGGGUGCAAGCGUUGUCCGGAUUUACUGGGCGUAAAGAGCUCGUAGGUGGUGUGUCGCGUCGUCUGUGAAAUUCCGGGGCUUAACUCCGGGCGUGCAGGCGAUACGGGCACGACUAGAGUGCUGUAGGGGUAACUGGAAUUCCUGGUGUAGCGGUGAAAUGCGCAGAUAUCAGGAGGAACACCGAUGGCGAAGGCAGGUUACUGGGCAGUUACUGACGCUGAGGAGCGAAAGCAUGGGGAGCGAACAGGAUUAGAUACCCUGGUAGUCCAUGCUGUAAACGGUGGGCGCUAGGUGUGGGCUGUGUGUUUGCAGUCUGUGCCGUAGCUAACGCAUUAAGCGCCCCGCCUGGGGAGUACGGCCGCAAGGCUAAAACUCAAAGGAAUUGACGGGGG
rnacentral:rRNA from 1 species